UGGGGAAUUUUGGACAAUGGGGGAAACCCUGAUCCAGCCAUCCCGCGUGUGCGAUGAAGGCCUUCGGGUUGUAAAGCACUUUUGGCAGGAAAGAAACGUCAUGGGUUAAUACCCCGUGAAACUGACGGUACCUGCAGAAUAAGCACCGGCUAACUACGUGCCAGCAGCCGCGGUAAUACGUAGGGUGCAAGCGUUAAUCGGAAUUACUGGGCGUAAAGCGUGCGCAGGCGGUUCGGAAAGAAAGAUGUGAAAUCCCAGAGCUCAACUUUGGAACUGCAGUUUGAACUACCGGGCUAGAGUGUGUCAGAGGCAGGUGGAAUUCCGCGUGUAGCAGUGAAAUGCGUAGAUAUGCGGAGGAACACCGAUGGCGAAGGCAGCCUCCUGGGAUAAAACUGACGCUCAUGCACGAAAGCGUGGGGAGCAAACAGG
rnacentral:rRNA from 1 species